rnacentral:rRNA from 1 species
UCAGGACGAACGCUGGCGGCGCGCCUCAUACAUGCAAGUCGAGCGAGAACCAGGGCUUCGGCCCUGGGGAAAGCGGCGAACGGGUGCGUAACACGUGAGCAACCUGCCCCGAAGACCGGGACAAGCCGGGGAAACCUGGUCUAAUACCGGAUGCCCUCACCGGAUCGCAUGGUCUGGUGAGGAAAUGGAUUCCGCUUCGGGAUGGGCUCGCGGUCUAUCAGCUUGUUGGUGAGGUAACGGCUCACCAAGGCGACGACGGAUAGCUGGUCUGAGAGGACGAUCAGCCACACUGGGACUGAGACACGGCCCAGACUCCUACGGGAGGCAGCAGUAGGGAAUCUUGCGCAAUGGGGGGAAAAACCCCCUGACGCAGCGACGCCGCGUGCGGGAUGAAGGCCUUCGGGUUGUAAACCGCUUUCAGUAGGGACGAAAUUGACGGUACCUGCAGAAGAAGGCCCGGCCAACUACGUGCCAGCCGCCGC